UGACCAUUUCGAAAGAAAUAUAUAGCCAUACGGACAGCUGGGUCAAAUGCCGA
rnacentral:sRNA from 1 species